UCUGACAUGACCCGCCCCUUGUCGUCCUCUCUCCCAUCUGCAACUGCGACUAUCACUGCUGCGACUACUUCCCUAAAUUUCAAGCGAGCACCACACAAUCACCAGAAGCCUUGGCAUCCAUGCUCCUGUCGGCUCCAGAGGACAGUGAGAAGAGAACCACCACUGUGUGCUCCUGCUAUGCUCCAAUUAAGAGACAGCACAGCAAGAGCUGUGAGGGAAGUGAGAGCAAGAGGGUCAUUACCCCCAUGAAGGGCCAUGCCAAUGGCCAAGGUCCACCUGCUGACCCAAACCUACCACCCCCUCCUCCCCCACCUCUUCCUCCCCCUUUGAAGAGUAAUCUCAAGAAGCCAACUACGGUUGGAGAGCACCAGAUGAUGAUGAUGAGGGAUGAGAGGAGGAAAGUAAGCUGGCCUGAUGCUCAUGGCAGAGACCUUGCCCAUGUCCAAGUGUUCCACUCGAGUGUGGUGGAAGAAGGGGAGUUUGCAGCGGCAGGGAAGUCCUGCGUUUGUACCAUCCAGUGAAGCAGAUCAUCAGUGGAGAUGGUUGUUUUGAUUGGUGGUCCUGAAACAUCUCAAACUUCAAAUGGAAAACAAGCACAACCCUAUGCUGAUGCACACAAGCCAGUCACUGGCAAGAAAAAAUUGGUAAAGAGGCUUCUACUUCUGCUUCUACCUUGUUCUUGAACACAUCUAGUUGUAGAUACCUUUCAGAAGCUUGCAAAGACAUGGGUAUUCAUCCAAGUUUUCUACUUCAGGCAGGAAAUGGAUAGUAGAAAGCUUUUUUGAUCCUUCUGUGGAGGCCUUGAUUUGAUGAGAGAGGCUUGAUUGUAAAGAUGCUACUGGAACUAGUUGAUACUUAAUGCUACUAAAGGAUGCAGAAUAGUUGACACCAUGUAAAGAUAAUUUGAUCAGUUUGAGCAUAUGCUUGUAAUGAAUUGUGUUACUGCCUCUAUGAUUAAGGAGAAUAAUACUUCUUAGCAGAAGA